GAUGAACGCUGGCGGCGUGCCUAAUACAUGCAAGUCGAGCGAACGGACGAGAAGCUUGCUUCUCUGAUGUUAGCGGCGGACGGGUGAGUAACACGUGGAUAACCUACCUAUAAGACUGGGAUAACUUCGGGAAACCGGAGCUAAUACCGGAUAAUAUUUUGAACCGCAUGGUUCAAAAGUGAAAGACGGUCUUGCUGUCACUUAUAGAUGGAUCCGCGCUGCAUUAGCUAGUUGGUAAGGUAACGGCUUACCAAGGCAACGAUGCAUAGCCGACCUGAGAGGGUGAUCGGCCACACUGGAACUGAGACACGGUCCAGACUCCUACGGGAGGCAGCAGUAGGGAAUCUUCCGCAAUGGGCGAAAGCCUGACGGAGCAACGCCGCGUGAGUGAUGAAGGUCUUCGGAUCGUAAAACUCUGUUAUCAGGGAAGAACAUAUGUGUAAGUAACUGUGCACAUCUUGACGGUACCUAAUCAGAAAGCCACGGCUAACUACGUGCCAGCAGCCGCGGUAAUACGUAGGUGGCAAGCGUUAUCCGGAAUUAUUGGGCGUAAAGCGCGCGUAGGCGGUUUUUUAAGUCUGAUGUGAAAGCCCACGGCUCAACCGUGGAGGGUCAUUGGAAACUGGAAAACUUGAGUGCAGAAGAGGAAAGUGGAAUUCCAUGUGUAGCGGUGAAAUGCGCAGAGAUAUGGAGGAACACCAGUGGCGAAGGCGACUUUCUGGUCUGUAACUGACGCUGAUGUGCGAAAGCGUGGGGAUCAAACAGGAUUAGAUACCCUGGUAGUCCACGCCGUAAACGAUGAGUGCUAAGUGUUAGGGGGUUUCCGCCCCUUAGUGCUGCAGCUAACGCAUUAAGCACUCCGCCUGGGGAGUACGACCGCAAGGUUGAAACUCAAAGGAAUUGACGGGGACCCGCACAAGCGGUGGAGCAUGUGGUUUAAUUCGAAGCAACGCGAAGAACCUUACCAAAUCUUGACAUCCUUUGACAACUCUAGAGAUAGAGCCUUCCCCUUCGGGGGACAAAGUGACAGGUGGUGCAUGGUUGUCGUCAGCUCGUGUCGUGAGAUGUUGGGUUAAGUCCCGCAACGAGCGCAACCCUUAAGCUUAGUUGCCAUCAUUAAGUUGGGCACUCUAAGUUGACUGCCGGUGACAAACCGGAGGAAGGUGGGGAUGACGUCAAAUCAUCAUGCCCCUUAUGAUUUGGGCUACACACGUGCUACAAUGGACAAUACAAAGGGCAGCGAAACCGCGAGGUCAAGCAAAUCCCAUAAAGUUGUUCUCAGUUCGGAUUGUAGUCUGCAACUCGACUACAUGAAGCUGGAAUCGCUAGUAAUCGUAGAUCAGCAUGCUACGGUGAAUACGUUCCCGGGUCU
rnacentral:rRNA from 1 species